GAUGAACGCUGGCGGUGUGCCUAAUACAUGCAAGUCGUACGCAUUCUCGUUUCUGAUUGACGGUGCUUGCACCUAAUUGACGAGACAUUGGAAUGAGUGGCGGACGGGUGAGUAACACGUGGGUAACCUGCCCAGAAGCGGGGGAUAACAUUUGGAAACAGAUGCUAAUACCGCAUAAAAGUCAAAACCACAUGGUUUUGAUUUAAAAGAUGGCCUUUGUGCUAUCACUUCUGGAUGGACCCGCGGCGUAUUAGCUAGUUGGUAAGGUAAUGGCUUACCAAGGCAAUGAUACGUAGCCGAACUGAGAGGUUGAUCGGCCACAAUGGGACUGAGACACGGCCCAUACUCCUACGGGAGGCAGCAGUAGGGAAUCUUCCACAAUGGGCGCAAGCCUGAUGGAGCAACACCGCGUGAGUGAAGAAGGUUUCGGCUCGUAAAACUCUGUUGUUAAAGAAGAACGUAUCUAAGAGUAACUGCUUAGGUAGUGACGGUAUUGAACCAGAAAGCCACGGCUAACUACGUGCCAGCCGCCGCGGUAA
rnacentral:rRNA from 1 species